rnacentral:rRNA from 1 species
GACGAACGCUGGCGGCGUGCUUAACACAUGCAAGUCGAACGGAAAGGCCCUGCUUUUGUGGGGUGCUCGAGUGGCGAACGGGUGAGUAACACGUGAGUAACCUGCACUUGACUUUGGGAUAACUUCAGGAAACUGGGGCUCAUACCGGAUAGGAGCUCCUGCUGCAUGGUGGGGGUUGGAAAGUUUCGGCGGUUGGGGAUGGACUCGCGGCUUAUCCGCUUGUUGGUGGGGUAGUGGCUUACCAAGGCUUUGACGGGUAGCCGGCCUGAGAGGGUGACCGGCCACAUGGGGACUGAGAGACGGCCCAGACGCCUACGGUAGGCAGCAGGGGAGAAUAUGGCACAAUGGGCGGAAGCCUGAUGCAGCAACGCCGCGUGCGGGAUGACGGCCUUCGGGUUGUAAACCGCUUUCGCCUGUGACGAAGCGUGAGUGACGGUAAUGGGUAAAGAAGCACCGGCUAACUACGUG